GCAAUACCAGGGAUUCCAUAAUGAGCAAAGUGUGCCAAAUUGCCAGCAGCCUCUGAGGAAGGGUUUAUCAAACAGUAUACACCAGAGCAGCACAGUCUUCGGAGAAGGGAUGCAGUGCGUCUCUCUCUGAGGUGUAAGUUAACACAUCGGGUAGGAUAAGCCUGUGUAUUGCAAUUUGAUGUGUAUGUUAGAAACCCAUGGAGUUUACCAUAACAGUGCCUUGUCCAGUGCCCACUGGAAAGUCAGGCUUUGAAUCCAGAACACCAAGACAGGAACAUCAGCCUCAGAAGAGGUUGGCUUGCAAUCAUUUUUGUUCAGUAUUUUCCAUGUGAAAUUGUGAUGCAGAUUCAUGUAAGAGAAGGAAUAGAGAAAUUAAAUAAUAUCUCUGAACUAUUCUGCAGAUUGACCUCUUCUUAACUCCACUCUCCCCCUCUAGGUAAAUUUAAUUCUUUCUCCCAAAUAAAGCAUUCUGUUCAGAUAAUAACCAAAUAACUGAGCCUAAAUAACCUAACAAUAGUCUAAAUAUUUAAGAUUCCUUCAGAACAAUCAGAAAUGUUGUCCAACCUAGAAAUUCAUUGGCAUGUUAAAGGGAUCCUAGUCCAAGAAGUAGGUGCUACAGAAAGGCACAGGUAUCUUGGAACUAGGUUUUCUUUAUGGUUUAUGGCACAGCAUAGCGGGCACCUCACAAAAUAAGCUGAAAAGACAUAAAGAUUUUUUUAUGGAAGUUUUGAUGGAAAGUUUUAAAGCUUCCUGUAGUUCACCCAUAAGCCUGGGGUUUUUAGUCAUUUUUAUAUAUAUGCAAAAUUUACCUCAAGCAAUUUUAAUGCCUGGUUUUUGCCUGUUUCAUCUACGGAGUGUCAGAAAAUACCUUGUUUUGAAUAUACCAUCAAUGAUCUGUAAGUGUGAAAAACUGCUGUGCUGCUGCCCUAAGAUAAUGUGCUACUAAUGGGGCAUCUUUAUGCCACUGCCAUACCUGAUUACUUACCAGUAGCAAAAUCAGCUGAUCAGAGGCAACUGUGCUUAGUAGUAAAUUUCUGUCCUCUUGUACAAUUUCAACAACAGUACAACCAGUCUUUUAUUACCUUCUUACAAUUGGAAAGGGACGCUUACUUGUUUGGCAAAUGUAUUCUAGAGACUUCGAAGAACUAACUACUACUGGAACAGGAUGCCCAGGGAGGUGGUAGCUCAGGCAGUGGCUGAUUGGUUACAGCCACAUUCAUAAAAGACUCAUCAGAAAGUGUUGAUUUCCUUACAUGACUUAACUCCAGCAUUCUUAGACCAUGGGUGGGAUGAAUGUAUCUCACUUAAGUUUCAAAAAUUUAGUAGUCAGACUUUCAGCUCACUAUUCUGCCUGCUUUUAUAGGAAGGA
ensembl:lncRNA